rnacentral:rRNA from 1 species
CAGUCGCCGCGGUAAUACGAAGGGUGCAAGCGUUACUCGGAAUUACUGGGCGUAAAGCGUGCGUAGGUGGUGGUUUAAGUCCGUUGUGAAAGCCCUGGGCUCAACCUGGGAAUUGCAGUGGAUACUGGGUCACUAGAGUGUGGUAGAGGAUAGUGGAAUUUCCGGUGUAGCAGUGAAAUGCGUAGAGAUCGGAAGGAACAUCUGUGGCGAAGGCGACUAUCUGGGCCAACACUGAUACUGAGGUGCGAAAGCGUGGGGAGCAAACAGGAUUAGAUACCCCAGUAGUCCCUGUCUCUUAUAC